rnacentral:rRNA from 1 species
UACGUAGGGUGCGAGCGUUAAUCGGAAUUAUUGGGCGUAAAGGGUGCGUAGGCGGUUUGUUAAGACGGAUGUGAAAUCCCCGGGCUCAACCUGGGAACUGCAUACGUGACUGGCAGGCUAGAGUAUGGCAGAGGGAGGUGGAAUUCCACGUGUAGCAGUGAAAUGCGUAGAGAUGUGGAGGAACACCGAUGGCGAAGGCAGCCUCCUGGGCUAAUACUGACGCUGAGGCACGAAAGCGUGGGGAGCAAACAGG